rnacentral:misc_RNA from 1 species
GAAAUGCGAUAACUAGUGUGAAUUGCAGAAUUCCGUGAAUCAUCGAGUCUUUGAACGCACAUUGUGCCCCCUGGUAUUCCGGGGGGCAUGCCUGUCCGAGCGUCAUUGCUGCCCAUCAAGCACGGCUUGUGUGUUGGGUCGUCGUCCCCUCUCCGGGGGGGACGGGCCCCAAAGGCAGCGGCGGCACCGCGUCCGAUCCUCGAGCGUAUGGGGCUUUGUCACCCGCUCUGUAGGCCCGGCCGGCGCUUGCCGAACGCAAAUCAAUCUUUUUCCAGGUUGACCUCGGAUCAGGUAGGGAUACCCGCUGAACUUAAGC